GAUGAACGCUAGCGACAGGCUUAACACAUGCAAGUCGAGGGGCAGCAAUUUGUAGCAAUACAAAGUUGGCGACCGGCGCACGGGUGAGUAACGCGUAUGCAACCUACCCACAACAGAAGAAUAAUCCGGCGAAAGUCGGUCUAAUACUUCAUAAAACAGGGACACCGCAUGGUGUUAUUUGUUAAAGAUUUAUCGGUUGUGGAUGGGCAUGCGUGCCAUUAGGUAGUUGGUGAGGUAACGGCUUACCAAGCCUACGAUGGUUAGGGGUUCUGAGAGGAAAGUCCCCCACACUGGUACUGAGACACGGACCAGACUCCUACGGGAGGCAGCAGUGAGGAAUAUUGGUCAAUGGGCGAGAGCCUGAACCAGCCAAGUCGCGUGAAGGAUGACGACCCUAUGGGUUGUAAACUUCUUUUGCAGGGGAAUAAAGAUAUUCACGUGUGGGUAGUUGUAUGUACCCUGCGAAUAAGCAUCGGCUAACUCCGUGCCAGCAGCCGCGGUAAUACGGAGGAUGCGAGCGUUAUCCGGAUUUAUUGGGUUUAAAGGGUGCGUAGGUGGACUGUUAAGUCAGUGGUGAAAGUUUGUCGCUCAACGAUAAAAUUGCCGUUGAAACUGGUGGUCUUGAGUAUGGAUGAAGUAGGCGGAAUGCGUGGUGUAGCGGUGAAAUGCAUAGAGAUCACGCAGAACUCCGAUUGCGAAGGCAGCUUACUAAGGCAUAACUGACACUGAAGCACGAAAGCGUGGGUAUCAAACAGG
rnacentral:rRNA from 1 species